UACAGUAAAAGGAGAGGAGGAUGCAGUUUAUGGAGUGAAAGAGGAGGAGGGGGAGAUGACUGUUACAUCAAAACAGGAGGAGGAAGAAGAGGAGGAAACUGGAUAUCUGGGCCCGGUUUCCCAAAUGCAUCUUAAGGCAUCCAAUGGUUCUAACGCUGAACUUAGCCAUAAGAUGGUUUUGAGAAACCGUUCUCUGAUUAACACUAGAGAGAGACGUGACUAUUGUAGAUCCUCUGGGGAGCUUCAACAACAUCAUGAUGCUGACAAGGCAGAGAAGAGUCUCUCCACAUCAGAACACCUCUAGAAACACCAGCAGAGACCCACAGGGAAGAGAACUCACCGCUGCUCUGUUUGUGGGAAGAGAUUCACCUCCUCAUCAGGCAUUAAAAUUCAUCAGACAAUCCACACAGGAGAGAAAUCUUAUAGCUGUGAUGAAUGUGGGAAGAGUUUUGUUACAUCUAGCAGUCUGACUAAACACCGGAGAACACACACAGGAGAGAAAUCUUAUAGCUGUGAUGAAAAUGUCAAGAGUUUUGUUACAUCUAGCAGUCUGACUAUACACCAGAGUACAAACACAGGAGAGAAACCUUAUAGAUGUGCUCAAUGUGGGAAGAGUUUUACUAGUCUAGCUAUCUAACUGUAUACCAGAGAACACACACAGGAGAGAAAUCUUAUAGCUGUGCUCAAUGUGGGAAGAGAUUUACUCAGUUGACCAGCCUGAUGUCACACCAGAGAAAACACACAUAGGAGAGAAAUCUAAUAGCUGUGAGGCUACACCAGAGAUUAUCUGAUAAAAUACCUCUGAACAAACAUCAGAAAAUACAUACAUGAAGGAGUUGUUUCAUGAUAUCAAUGAAUUAAUGUCACAAUGUAGAAUAUCCGUAAUCAUUUGCCCCCUGUUCUACUGAUUUCAACAUGAUAGGGAUAUUAGCCUCACGGAAAAAUCCAGGCUCUGAAUUGAACGAGUUAUUAUUUAUGUGAUUUAACAAAAAGUGACUAACACUAUAUCACUAUAUCAGUGAUGUAUUUCUACUUGUCAAAACAACAGUGUUUCUGGUGCUUGUGCAGUUUAUAAGAUGCUUGUUUAAAAAAUACAAGUAAUAUGAUUAUUGUGGCAGAUGUUUGUGUACAUAGCACAUGUUAUGUUUAGGUUUUCAAUUUAUCCCAAACUGUUCCUGCAUAUUGGUUAUUGAUUUGGACACGUUAAAACUGUGUUUUGACAUUGGGGAUAUUCCACCGAGCAAAAUGUAAUUGAAAAGCCGUUGAAAAAAGGACUGCAAUCAAAUAUUUCAUAUUUACAUUUCAUGUAAUGAUAAUGAUUUAGUAAUGAUCAUUAUUUAUGCAACCAACUGACAAUUUUUUGGUACAAUUAUAUUGACAUUGUUGCACAGCUUUUAGAAUGUCAGGGUUCAUUCUCAGAUAUGCCAAUCCAAAUGUAUGAGAGCAUGACAUUGGGGACUGGGCCCCGAUCCAACAACAUACCUAUCUAGUGAACCCUGAAAAGUGCGAGAAGCUCUGCCGUGAGGUGAAAAGUUACUACAGAUAUUGCAGGAGUUUCCUCUUGAAAUCAGACAUGUCCGUGAUAAGGACAACUUGGUUGCUGAUUGUAUCAAGGGUGGGAAGUCAAAAGGUUUUGCGUUUAGGCAGUAAGUUGCCAUGGAUCACAAUUUAUUUUGACUGCACGUUUUUCGUGUAUUGGAGAUGAGUUUUGUUUGGGCUCGUUCCAUGGGGACGAGAGUUCUAGACGCUAGUGAGUUUUAGGCAGACGAGAGUUCUAGAAACUAGUGGGGGAAAAAUGUUUUUUUCUUGUUUUUAAAUGUUGACAGCCAGUAGACACCAUGUUUAUAUUGGUGAAGGUGAAGCAAUGUAGUUGAUUAUAAUGUGAAAUGGAAGUUGUUUUCUGUUGGUGGUAAGCAUUUUUCAGCCUGCUGAUGGCGUGGUAAACACCACCCACGGCUCUACCAGGGGCUUGAGGUGGUCUCCCACAGCUCUGCUUAUGUCAUUUUAUGUGGCUUUGCUGUUCCAUUUCUUGACUGCCCCUACAACACAGAAAGAAACACAUUUAGUCAUAUUAUGUAAAACACUCAAAGUUAUGGAUGUGGAGCAUCUAUGGCCUCAGUUACACCUGGCACCUAAAUGUGAUUUCUGUCAUCUGAUCACUCCAAGCUGCAUUAGGUUCAUAAAUAUUCAUAAAUAUUUACCAUCUAAACCAUGUGUGACCUCUCACCUCUCUGGCUGUAGAAGUGUUCUUCCUAACCAGUCCUGCAACAACUCUCUGACUGAGCUCCACCCUCACUGGGUCUUCAGCGGAGAAGAAGGCUGAGGAGGGAUGGAAGGAUGAAUGGAUCAGUCAGUCAAUAACAUGUAGAGCUGCUGUCUGACAAAAUCACUAUUUUAGUAGUUCAUUAAAGUAAUUAAGGCUUUAUGACUGCUGAAUACCAACUAUCAAUUACUUAGAUCAUGUUUUUUCAGGUAGAGAUAUAUCCUUGGGACGUCCGUAGCCCAUUGAAGUUGACAUUUAAAAUGGUUAAGGUCGGGGUUAGGGUUUAGGGUAGGGAUGUCCCAAGGAUUCCAGAUAGCAUUGACCAUCGUGCAUUAUUCUGUCUCUUAAACAUAGCAGGUGAUGGGUUCUGACUUCUGUACUUUUAAAUAUGAAAUAUCCAUAUUAUGUGAAAUUGAAUGAAACAAUAAUGUAUGUUAAUGCUAAUGUGAUGUACAAUAUUCCAUGAUGUUUCUAUAUGAUAACAAUAGCGUAAUAUAUUUAAUAUGCCAUAUAGUCUUUUUUUAACAGUUUCACUAAUGAAUUUUAAUUAACUUAAUCAUUAUGACACACCCCUCACUAUUGUCAUUGGUUGCACUAAUUUCACUGUUUGUCUACAUAACCUGAUUCAAGUAUUCAUAACAUCACCCUGAGGAAGGCACAGUGAUGCUGAAACGUUGGUAAAACCCCAUUAAAUUGCUGCGAGUUUAUACAUG